UCAGAUUUGGCCAUUAACAUUAAAUAUCUCAAGUUUCUCAGAAGUGCUGAUGUUGGUUUCUGAAUUGAGGUUUCUGAGACUCUGAUAUUCUAGUUUCUACAAUUUUCUACCUUUUUCUCGUCAUCCAAACUCUAUAUAAAACCUCAAUUUCGUUGAGAAGUAAGAAAAAAAAAGAAGGAAACCCACCUACUGUAUAUCUCAAUUAUGCUUUUUAAAGCCUCAAAUUCUCAAAGAUUUCCACCUGGGUGUCUCGUUUUAUCUCUCAAAGGCUUAUUCAUAUUCAAAGAAUCUUCCUUUCUUUGGGGCCUGCUGGUAUUUUCCUUUACUUUCUGAUGAUCCAAACACCAACGCAAGACCUCUAGUUAGCCGAAGAACAAAGCUCUUUUACAUGGGAGUCUCUUUUAAGGUCUCAAAAACUGGCAGAAGGUUCUGUCCAAAGCCCG
rnacentral:misc_RNA from 1 species